CGUUAUCGCGACUACAAUGGUUAUCUGCGCACUGUUUCACSAAACCGUCGAAAGCAAAACAAUAAUUAGUUUAAUAGUUUACGACGUUUACGUCUCGUGCGAUUAAAUUAAAUUUUAAACACGCCUAAUUAUACGGACUAUGAUUAACGGUUUACGAGUUUUUCUUAUUCAUACUCUACGACGACGACCUGGCGAAUCAAAUAACCGACCACUGGAUGUCCACUGAGUAGUGAAUAAUUGUGAAAAAUGAAGAACAUUGGCGUGCAACGACAGAAAGAGUUUAUUCAGGAGUAAAGAGUUUAGUUUAUUACUAAGCAUUUUACUUGAUGCAAUAUUUUUAGUUCAUGMUACAGUUCAAUGCAGUUUUAUUCAAGGACCCAAGUUAAAUAUUGAUACAGAUAUAGUCAUGUUGGUUCUCAGAAGUAUUGAGUAUGAACAGUGAAUGUGCUUCAAAUCAGUGGCGUAACUAGCAGCAAAUGUUUGGGUUAGCGAACACUUUUAUAUGCUUCACCUUCUCUAAUGAGCAUAAUGUAUGCCUUCUUGAAAAUGGACAAGGAUAAAAUGAUGAACUGGCUACACUUAUUUUCGACAUCAAUUAAGAAUCUAGUUUUGGUUAAAUAUAGUUAAGAAUUCAGUUUAUUUUGUUUUCAUAAUUUUUUAUUAUGUUUAUAAUUUAUAUUAUAAUUCCUGAUUUGUAUAGUUUAAUGAACCAAACCUAAUUGGUUGUUAGGUAUUUUUUUACAAAUAAAAAUUGCUUAAUAAUGUGUUUUUAAAAAUAACUAUCAUGUUAUAUAUGUAUAAGAUUUAGUUGUUAUAGUCCAUGCAACGAAAACUGGCUGAUGAGCGACGUGACUCGAUAAAAUUAAUUUAUUAACUAUUGAAAAACCUAAACCAAUAUUUUAAAUAUUAUUCAUUUAGAAU